rnacentral:sRNA from 1 species
AAGUCGUAACAAGGUUUCCGUAGGUGAACCUGCGGAAGGAUCAUUAUCGAAUCGUGGGGGCGAGGGUUGUUGCUGGCCUCUCGGGGGCACGUGCACGCCCGAGCCCUCAAAUCCCAACACACCUGUGAACCCACCGUGGGCCUUCGGGCCUAUGUAUAUAUCAAACCCUGAAUGUGUACCGGAAUGUAAACUUUGCCUUUUGAAACGCAAAUUGAAAUACAACUUUCAACAACGGAUCUCUUGGCUCUCGCAUCGAUGAAGAACGCAGCGAAAUGCGAUAAGUAAUGUGAAUUGCAGAUUUUCAGUGAAUCAUCGAAUCUUUGAACGCACCUUGCGCUCCUUGGUAUUCCGAGGAGCAUGCCUGUUUGAGUGUCAUUAAAUUCUCAACCCCGUCGGUUUGUUCUGGCGGGGCUUGGACUUGGAGCGUGCUGGCGAAGGUCGGCUCCUCUUUAAAUGUAUCAGCGGAAGGAACCUUUGUCUUUCUUGCCUUCAGCGUGAUAAUCGUGUUGCGCUGUGGGCGGAAGUCGGAAGUCCGCUUCUAAUGGUCUUCGGACGGUUAUACAUGACGUUUUGACCUCAAAUCAGGUAGGACUACCCGCUGAACUUAA